GACGAACGCUGUCGGCGUGCUUAACACAUGCAAGUCGAACGGAAAGGCCUCAGCUUGCUGGGGUACUCGAGUGGCGAACGGGUGAGUAACACGUGGGUGAUCUGCCUUGCACUCUGGGAUAAGCUUGGGAAACUGGGUCUAAUACCGGAUAUGAACUGCCUUUAGUGUGGUGGUUGGAAAGUUUUUUCGGUGCAAGAUGAGCUCGCGGCCUAUCAGCUUGUUGGUGGGGUAAUGGCCUACCAAGGCGUCGACGGGUAGCCGGCCUGAGAGGGUGUACGGCCACAUUGGGACUGAGAUACGGCCCAGACUCCUACGGGAGGCAGCAGUGGGGAAUAUUGCACAAUGGGCGGAAGCCUGAUGCAGCGACGCCGCGUGGGGGAUGACGGCCUUCGGGUUGUAAACUCCUUUCGACAGGGACGAAGCUUUUUGUGACGGUACCUGUAUAAGAAGCACCGGCUAACUACGUG
rnacentral:rRNA from 1 species